rnacentral:misc_RNA from 1 species
GUGAAUCAUCAAAUUUUUGAACGCAAAUUGCACUCUCUGGUAUUCCGGAGAGUAUGCCUGUUUGAGGGUCAGUUUAAAUAAAAAUCGGUGUGGUUGCUGCCUUUCGUGGUGACGCACCGGAUGUGGGUCGUCUUGCUUUUGGUUAAGUGAACUUAAAUUUUGCAUGAGUUUUUCGAACGUAUUUAAAUGAUUUUACGUACGUUUGUGAUAUCGAAUACUAGGUGCUGUCAUACUCAUCAUUCGCGCCUAUAAUUUUUC